ensembl:rRNA 5S_rRNA 5S ribosomal RNA
AGUCGCCGUCAUAUCACCCUGCAGCCAAAGACCGGUUACUCACUGAAGCUAAGCAGGGCUGAGCCUGGUCAGUACCUGGAUGGGAGACCACUAGGGAACACAUGGUCAGCAGGGGGUG